ACUGGCGAUACUUGGUAGUUUUAAUUUGAAAUUAAAAAAUUUGGUUUAAUUCCAACGUUGGUU
rnacentral:tRNA from 1 species